rnacentral:rRNA from 1 species
UAAGACGAAGGAUGCGAGCGUUAUCCGGAUUCACUGGGUUUAAAGGGUGCGUAGGCGGUAUAGUAAGUUUCAGGUAAAAGGUCUGUGCUUAACACAGGAGUUGCCUGAGAUACUGCAAUACUUGAGAUAGUGAGGCGUUUCUGGAAUAUGGCAAGUAGAGGUGAAAUUCAUAGAUAUGCCAUAGAACACCGAAAGCGAAGGCAGGAGACGAGCACUUAUCUGACGCUGANGCACGAAAGCGUGGGGAGCGAACAGGNUUAGAUACCCUGGUAGUCCACGCUGUAAACGAUGAUGACUUGUUGUUUGAGGUAUAAACCUUGAGUGGCAAAGCGAAAGCGAUAAGUCAUCCACCUGGGGAGUACGCCGGCACGGUG